GCACGUCCAAGUACUAACAAGCUAAAGUGAAACCGCGAAUGGCUCAUUACAACAUACACAAUCUAUUGAAUGUUAUAAUAAUUGGAUAACUGAGGUAAUUCUUGAGCUAAUACAUAUUGCAAAUUUCCAACUUACGAAGGAAAGCAUUCGUUAGCUAAAGAUCAAACUCACUUGUGAGUUUAUUAGUGACUCAGAACGAAAUAUCCGAUUAUAUUGGCUUGUCCAGAUAACAAAUUCAGUGAGAGUAUGACCUAUCAACUGUCGACUGUGGUGUAUUUGAUCACAGUGGUGUUAACGGGUAACGGAGAAUCUGGGUUCGAUUCCGGAGAGGGAGCCUUAGAAACGGCUACCACAUCCAAGGAAGGCAGCAGGCACGCAAAUUACCCCUUUACCGAAGGUAGAGGUAGUGACGAAAAAUAACAAUGCAACACUCUUCCGAGGCGUUGCAAUUGGAAUGAGGUUACUCUAAACCUGUAUUCAAGGAACAAUUGGAGGGCAAGUCUGGUGCCAGCAGCCGCGGUAAUUCCAGCUCCAAUAGCGUAUAUUAAUGUUGUUGUGGUUAAAAAGCUCGUAGUUGGAUAUCAUCAGUAAGUUUUCUGUUCAACUUGUGUUGUAAUAGGAAGUCUGACUGUCUGUCUGUUCAUUCUUAUCGGUGACUUUAAUCAGUUGUCGUUCUAAAGGAAGAACAAUUUUACUUUGAAAAAAUUAGGGUGCUCAAAGCAAGUUUAUCGCUUGAAUAGUUGUGCAUGGAAUAAUAGAAAAGGAAUUUGAUCUUUUUGUGUUGGUCUUAAAGAUAAAGUUAAUGAUAAAUGGGGACAGCCGGGGGCGUAUGUAUUCAGCCGACAGAGGUGAAAUUCUUGGACCGGCUGAAGACAAACUACUGCGAAAGCAUUCGCCAAGAGUGUUUUCAUUAAUCAAGAACGAAAGUUAGAGGUUCGAAGGCGAUUAGAUACCGCCCUAGUUCUAACCAUAAACGAUGCCAACCAGCAAUCUGUGGUUGUUUAUCUAAACGACUCUACAGGGAGCUUUUGGGAAACCAAAGUUUUUGGGUUCCAGGGGAAGUAUGGUUGCAAAGCUGAAACUUAAAGUAAUUGACGGAAGGGCACCACCAGGAGUGGAGCCUGUGGCUUAAUUUGACUCAACACGGGGAAUCUUACCAGGCCCAGACACUUGAAGGAUUGACAGAUUGAUAGCUCUUUCUUGAUUAGGUGGUUGGUGGUGCAUGGCCGUUCUUAGUUGGUGGAGUGAUUUGUCUGGUUAAUUCCGAUAACGAACGAGACUCUUUCCUACUCAAUAGUUAUUUGCUUUUAAAGUUCAGUUGGUUAUCAGCUUGUCUGUAUAUCAUCUGAUCGGCAAUAUCUUCUUAGAGGGACUGUAGACGUUUAGUCUAACGAGAUAGAGCAAUAACAGGUCUGUGAUGCCCUUAGAUGUUCUGGGCCGCACACGCGCUACAAUGAACAAAUCAACAAGUUCCCAGUCUGAGAAGAUUGGGUAAACUAUUGAAACUUGUUCUUGGCAGGGAUUGUCGCUUGCAAUUCUUCGACAUGAACCAGGAAUUCCUAGUAAGUGCAAGUCAUCAGCUUGUAUUGAUUAAGUCCCUGCCCUUUGUACACACCGCCCGUCGCUACUACCGAUUGAAUGUCUUAGUGAGUAAUUUGGAAAUAUUUUCUGGCUAGUAAUAGUCUGAAGACGUUAAAGAAUUGCAAACUGUGGCAUUUAGAGGAAGUAAAAGUCGUAACAAGGUUUCCGUA
rnacentral:rRNA from 1 species